CAUCCAGGCUUAUGUCUAGCACACCAACAUUUUCAUGUUCUGCCUUGUACCUUCUCGAAGAGCAUGGGCCAAUUAUGAACUAAUCCUGCUUUUAUACCAACAAAGAAGACUGUCAGAAAAGGGUUUCACUGGAGAAAUCAAGAACUGGUGGCUACUGAGGACUUUGUAAGAAAAGAGUACUACUAAGAAGUCCAAUAGAAGCAGUGAAAUACCUGCUCCACUUUUUAAACAGACAUCUAUAACAGAAGUUAAAGAAAAAAUAUCACCAACAGAGGAUCAAACUCUGCAGUUUACUCACAUGUGAACCUUGCUAAGGUGGAAGUAUUCUAACAGCGCCUAAAGUAAACAAAAAUUGAGAUUGAGAUAGGAAAAUAAAUGAAAAUUUUCCUCUGGG